rnacentral:piRNA from 1 species
UGCCUUAAUUUAAUCCCUAGAAGGAGCUAA